rnacentral:snRNA from 1 species
AUACUUGCCUGGUGCCAAGGCCUCAAUCACCAAGGACAAGCUCCCAGUGUGAGGCGUGGGCAUUGCACUGCGCUCGCGUUGACCCCUGCCACUACCCCAAACUGGUGCAGAUGGGGCAUGCAAAUUGC